CAUCAACAGCGCACACUCAUCUUUUUUUUUGGACCAGUCUUCUCCCUCAUUUUUAUGUAUAAAAACUGAUUAAAAUAAAUAUAAAAAAAAAUUUCUUGUGUAAUCAAAUAGUGUAUUUUUUAGGCCUAACACUUUUUAUGUCCAUAUUUAUGACGUAUACCGGUCAAAAAAAUUCGUGAAAAUAGCCUUAUCUUUGCCCGUCUAAAGAGGGUAAGGUUAAGUAACAUUUAUUAUAUACACCACAUUAAUAUUUAUUUUGCAUCAGAGUCUAUUAGAAAUUCAAUAAAGCGGGCAAUCAUAUUACAUGUGUACAUAGAGUUUUUAAAUAGAUCUCGGCAAAUAAUUCCUAAGAGGCCGCGUGCUUUUAGUCGCUGGUUAAAUGUGAAGCUAUACGGACACCUCAACCGCAAAUUUAGACCAACAAAUCGUAAUAAAAAAUUUAAUGGCAGUCAAUUAUUUACAACCAGUAACAAUGGCCAACCCACUAGUUGGACCCGAGCCCACAACACUGAUCUGUCCUUCCUGUAAGGCCAGCGUAACAACCCGAGUGGAUCACAAGGCAACCACAAGAACCCACUUAGUGGCUCUAAUUCUAUGUGUAUUAUUAUGCUGGCCUUGCGUUUGCGUUCCAUAUUGUGUCAAUUCUUGCCUAAACGCUGAUCAUUACUGUCCGAGCUGCAACGCCUACCUUGGAACCUAUAAAAGAUAACAAAAACGCUUAUGUUUAAUCAAAGUAUUGUCUAUGGAAAUAAGUAUAACUAAUCCCCUCCACACACUUGAAGUUUAAAACAGGAAACAUGUUUAAACAAAAUUUUCUACCGAUUGUUUUAUAAACAACUGUAAAGGAUUAUUUACAUUACACCAAGUUGAGGCCAGACCUUGAAAUAGAUGAUGCUAAAUCUACAACUACAGAAUAUUUUAGCGAGAAUUAAUUCAUAUAAGUGGGGUGGGUCCACACCUUAUACCGGUCGUCCAAAAUAUCAGUAUUUGGCGGCAGACGCAACAUGAACGUGACAUCGCCCAUUUCGGAAGCGAUUUUACCAAAAUUAAAUAAUCUUAAUAUUUGACCAUGAUCAAGGCACUACCUGGCUGAUAUGGUGUAAUAUCAAAAAUCCUUAAAUGCUAAAGUAAUAUGACGGUUGUAUAUCAAAAUAUAACUGAAUAUACAAGAACAAACAAUUUAGGUAGACUCAUUUAAAAAAAAAGAUUUUGACAAUAAUAACGAAAUAAUAAUUUAAAAUUUACUAUUUAAAGAUUAUAUUUUCCAAUUUUACCUGUGUAAACGAACGGUACGAAAUAGUAGUUAUCGGAUUUCGAGACAUCGUUUUCGGUUUUAUCAAAAAUAUGACACUUUAUUCUUUCUUUUUACUUUUUUUACUCAUCACAACGAAAAUACGUUACUGUUGAACUGCGUCAAGUUCUUGACCGCUAGUAAAAACAGUGCUUUAUUAUUAAUUAAUAUGAAGUUAAUAAUAGUUUUAUAUUUUGCUAUUGUUUUAACGCUAUUCGCGUUGACUAUAGAUAUAGUUUAGUAUCUCUGUGUUAUUCCCUUAUAAAUAUAGUCAAAUCAUAUGCAGUAAUUUUGGCACAAUUACCUGCGAGUGAGUGUAAGUUAUCAAAAAAUUUCUGACGUUGGAUCUUUGGAGUGUUUCAGACAUCAAAAUGCAUAUGGUUCCCAACAGGUAUGUAUAAGAUACCAGAGCCAGGAUUAUUACGGCCUUUAUUUUAUAGUGGUCCUUGGCGUGGCGGAUACGUGCGGUGCCGUUGUUGCCGGUGAUACCACGUGGCAAGAUUUUGUGAGUUGGCUGCCAGGACCCCAACAUCUACGAUAAAGAACUGCUCAACCUCUUCGAAUCAGCAUCGGGAUUCUUCCCUCUCUGACCGAGCAACCCACGUGUCAGAAUUAAUUCGAAACCACAGUCUAGCUUAAAUUAAUAUUAGAUUAAUCAAAAAAUGUAUUUCGGUCCAUAGUGUAGAUUUAAAAUAAUUUUUUGUUGUGUUAAACUCGUUCAUUUAGUCAAUAAAAAGGAAGAUAAAGUUGUUUGUUCAUUCAAAUUUGUAUUAAGCUUAAAAUUGUGUUCCCUUGUAUUAAAUUACUUGCUACAUUAGUUUAAUUUGAUUUUGUUCUCCAAUCUCCAUCCAACUUUUUUUAAAUAUAUAUUUACCUCUCUGUGAUUUAGUUCGUCGCUUUAAAAAAGAAUUAAUAUUCUCUUAUUAUAUGCUCCUUUAAUUUAAUUACAUUCGCAUAUAUUUAUUACGUUUUUUUUUUAACGCGCGACACUGUUUUUACAUUUGUAUCCAACCACGAUUAUGUAUCUAGCCUUAGUAACAUUAAUUUGCCUAACAGUGUUAUUAAGUAAACUCUAUAUUUUAAUGGUACGAAAAAUUACAACAUUUUGAAAAAAAUUAUAGUUGGUAAAAAAAAAUCUUAACUAUAUCAAUUUAGUACGUUUUUUAUUAAUAUAAAUCGAUAACAAAAACGAAUUUACAUUCAUUAAUUACACUAUAUCUCAUUGGCCUUAGUCCUUCUAUUGCAGACGAUUUAGACAGUAUCAGACAGACACUAUGUCACCUAGGACACUCCUCAGGAAAACGCAGAGUUGCCUAAACUCUGCGCCACCCUCUCGACCGCACUGGCUAGGCCCACAGGAACGACGGGUCGUUACGUGG
rnacentral:misc_RNA from 1 species